UGGGUUAAGUCCCGCAACGAGCGCAACCCCUAUCCUCAGUAGCCAGCAAGUUAAGUUGGGCACUCUGUGGAGACUGCCAGGGAUAACCUGGAGGAAGGCGGGGAUGACGUCAAAUCAUCAUGCCACUUAUGAUUUGGGCUACACACGUGCUACAAUGGCGUAAACAAAGGGAAGCGAGAGGGUGACCUGGAGCAAAUCCCAAAAAUAACGUCCCAGUUCGGACUGUAGUCUGCAACCCGACUACACGAAGCUGGAAUCGCUAGUAAUCGCGGAUCAGAAUGCCGCGGUGAAUACGUUCCCGGGUCUUGUACACACCGCCCGUCACACCAUGGGAGUCAGUAACGCCCGAAGUCAGUGACCUAAC
rnacentral:rRNA from 1 species